AGAAUCAACGCUGGCGGCGUGCCUAACACAUGCAAGUCGAACGCGAAAGGGGCUUCGGCCCUGAGUAGAGUGGCAAACGGGUGAGUAACACGUGGGUGACCUGCCUCAGAGUGGGGGAUAACGUCCCGAAAGGGACGCUAAUACCGCAUAACAUCCUGCCUUUGGAAAGGCGGAGAUCAAAGCCGGGGAUCGCAAGACCUGGCGCUUGGAGAGGGGCCCGCGUCUGAUUAGCUAGUUGGUGGGGUAAUGGCCUACCAAGGCAACGAUCAGUAGCCGGCCUGAGAAGGCGGACGGCCACACUGGGACUGAGACACGGCCCAGACUCCUACGGGAGGCAGCAGUGGGGAAUUGUCGCAAUGGGCGCAAGCCUGACGACGCAACGCCGCGUGGAGGAUGAAGAUUUUCGGAUCGUAAACUCCUGUCGAGCGGAAGAAAACCUGUCGGUUAAUACCCAGGCAGGCUGACGGUACCGCUAAAGGAAGCCCGGCUAACUCCGCGCCAGCAGCCG
rnacentral:rRNA from 1 species